ensembl:lncRNA
GUUUCAAGGCUUACCUUCAAACUCAGUGCCUCUUUGCUUGACAUCAUGGGAAAAUCAAAAGAAAUCAGCCAAGACCUCAUAAAACAAUUGUAGACCUCCACAAGUCUGGUUCAUCCUUGGGAGAAAUUUCCAAACACCUGAAGGUAAACUUCCGGAAGUGAAUGAAUGGAAGUGGAUGAUCGUAGACCCCACACCCCCUUCAACAUGCAUACUAUAAACAGACCAAUCUAAUCUUGUCUCCUCUUAUCUUUGGUUGGUGCGGAAAAAAACAAGCAUGGCGUCGCGCAGAAACUACUGUCAUGACUGUCCUGAUCAGGUCAGGUUACAGGAGACCACAACCCUACAGAUUGUCUCUCAACCCCAACAGAGGAGGAGAGAUCUAGGGCUCUGAAGAUGUGGGGGGUUUAUUGGCCUCUCAGGCCACAGACAAAUUCCUUUGUCCUGUUACUAUGGAGAACCAGCCUCAGAACAUUAAACAUGAACUAAAGGGACUUUGGAACAAUGGUUUUCGUCAGCCACAAUGGUGGUCAUGACGAUAGAUGGAAUAUGAAAAUGUAUGUCAGUUUUGUUCUGUUAUUAAAGGUUAAUAGAUGACGUUAUUACGAAAACAUUGUAAUGUGAAGGGUUUUCCUAGUAUAUGUUUGAUAUUUAUACAUUGUACGUUGUAUGUAAAAUAUCCAAAUCAAAGAUAAUGUUUUGGGGAAGAUGAAAUGUUAAGUUAGUUGUCUAAAAUUGGAUUUGAGUAAAAUCUGGACCUUGCCUCUUUAACUUGGUACGCCCAGAGAAUUGCCCUAAAGGCGGCUACGCCCACUUCUGACCCAAGGUUAUAAAACCUGUGAGUAUAGAAUUUUCGACAGGACUAUGUGACCCCAGCUGCAGCAAGGUCUAAAAAAGUAAACAAACCCAGAACGCGACUCAAGUUUGAAGACAAAGAAAUCCUUUUCUGCCCAAACUACGGAUGAGUAGCUGUGUCUAAGCGGGUGAAUUCAGGUCGAACCACCUAGCCUCCAUCUCCCAUCGAAUCGUGGUAUCUAAAGGGUUUCAUUCCUAUGCUGUGAGCUCUGAGCUACAGAGCUGUCUGCCCUCAGAAGACCCCUUCCAGAGAGUGAGGAAACAGACUCCUAAGCCAAAAAGGACACUGACAUUGGGAGGUUGAGCAGGGAGGUGCGCAGGAGAAGUGCGUCAUCGAACAGCGGAACAGUGCACGCAGAGAAUCCUCUGAGAUCAUCUCCACGUAAUUACAUCAUUAUAUUCUGACCCAUAAGAGCGGCAGUUUGGGGCAAGGCUAGGGUUAGAAUAGCAUAGCUGACAAAUUCACCCAAAUGUAUAUUUCUCGUGUACUUUCUUUUUUCUCUCUCUUUUGAAAUCCUCAUUGUGGGUAAUAUGCGCCAUAGUGCUUUGGCCCGUUAUACUAAGUUCUAAUCAAUAGCCUAUAAUGUGUUUUGUCUGUGUAUCUUUUAUCAUCAUUUUAGCUUUUUAGUAAAAUAAAUAUUGAACUAAGAUUGGUGUGGUACGAAUUCAUUAGUGAGACCCGGGUUCGUGCAGAUUCACGGGCUAUACGACGUUCAGCACGAGAUUGGUAGAGGUAACUGGUUAAUUAGCGUCUGUUGUAAAAU